rnacentral:rRNA from 1 species
UGGGGAAUAUUGCACAAUGGGCGAAAGCCUGAUGCAGCGACGCCGCGUGGGGGAUGACGGCCUUCGGGUUGUAAACCUCUUUCAGCAAGGAAGAAGCGAAAGUGACGGUACUUGCAGAAGAAGCGCCGGCUAACUACGUGCCAGCAGCCGCGGUAAUACGUAGGGCGCAAGCGUUGUCCGGAAUUAUUGGGCGUAAAGGGCUUGUAGGUGGCUUGUCGCGUCUGCCGUGAAAACUCGAGGCUUGACCUUGGGCGUGCGGUGGGUACGGGCAGGCUAGAGUGCGGUAGGGGAGACUGGAAUUCCUGGUGUGGCGGUGAAAUGCGCAGAUAUCAGGAGGAACACCGAUGGCGAAGGCAGGUCUCUGGGCCGUUACUGACACUGAGAAGCGAAGGCAUGGGGAGCGAACAGG